GACGAACGCUGGCGGCGCGCCUAACACAUGCAAGUCGAACGAGCGAGAGAGAGCUUGCUUUCUUGAGCGAAUGGCGAACGGGUGAGUAACGCGUGAGGAACCUGCCUCAAAGAGGGGGACAACAGUUGGAAACGACUGCUAAUACCGCAUAAGCCCACGGUGCCGCAUGGCACAGAGGGAAAAGGAGCAAUCCGCUUUGAGAUGGCCUCGCGUCCGAUUAGCUAGUUGGUGAGGUAACGGCCCACCAAGGCGACGAUCGGUAGCCGGACUGAGAGGUUGAACGGCCACAUUGGGACUGAGACACGGCCCAGACUCCUACGGGAGGCAGCAGUGGGGAAUAUUGCACAAUGGGGGAAACCCUGAUGCAGCGACGCCGCGUGGAGGAAGAAGGUCUUCGGAUUGUAAACUCCUGUUGUUGGGGAAGAUAAUGACGGUACCCAACAAGGAAGUGACGGCUAACUACGUG
rnacentral:rRNA from 1 species